GAGUGGCCUGAGCUGCUGCAUAUCAUGGUCAAGGAGAGGGUGAGAAUAUCCACAAGGCUGCUGGUUACUGCUUGCUUCUUCAAGGCAAAGCUUGCCUGGAGAGUUCAGCCACUCUGGGACCUACAGGGAAGGGACCUGUCUGGAAGCUUUAAUGGUCUGCUAGAGCUGAAUCAGGUGGAAUGACACCCAGGAUGCUUGUCCUAUCCCAGCCUGAUGGAUGUGGCUGCUGCUGCUCCCAUGUGUAUGUUCAGGAAACUUGUGCUGCAUAAGUCUAAUUUCAAGUUCACCAGUGCAUUGUACACACCUAGAGGGAUCCCACCAGUAGCUGGCCUAAGACAUGUUUCCAACUGCUGUCCCCGUAAUCUCUGUGCCCUUCUGCUGUACCGUCACCCUCCUCUGAGCCGGCCCAUUUGGGUGACACCUCACAGAUAACUGAAGGAAGAGCUGGGAGCAUUUUAGGAAGAGGCAUCUGACAGGGACAGCAGCACCCAGGCAGUGUGAUGGAAGUCCAAAGUGACCUUGCUAUCAGCACCUCAAACGUCAAAUCUGUUCACAAAUGCAGCAAAUCUCAGAGGAAGAUGGGAAAAAGAACCAGGGGUAGAUCGCUUGUCUGGGACAAGAAAAGGGUGGAGAAAGAGGAGUCAAGGAGGAUGGGGGGAUGUAUAAGCAUGGAAAAUGGACAGAAACAGAGAUAAAGGAGCCAUUUACAGAUAAGCAACUGCUGAUUGUUUUGCUUGUUUGACUGAGCCUUGUACCUAAUCACAGUCUGUCCAGCCUUCUUUUUGAGAGUGACUCCAGAUGGUGUUCUGUGUAGCCCCAGUCUGUACCUGGCUGCAGCAAUGGCAGAAGGAACAUAGGCCAUAGGGACCCAGCAGCUGGAAUCACCAGCCAGCUGCUGGUGGGAGUGCUCUGGGGGGGUGUGCAGUUCACUAGUGAACUUGAAGGUGCUCACGAGCAAGAGGAGACAUAGAUCUGGAAAGACCCAAGGUCUGUGCCAGCUGCUGGGUAAGUAGCUUGACAUCCAGCCGCAGACAUUAACUGAAUUCCCAUGCUCAUAUUUAAGGAAUCUAUGAACAUGCUGUGCUUGUGAAUCUAGGGAGUGAUUUGUGUGUAUGUUCCAGUCCUGAUCAGCUGGAGAGGAAGAUGAGUACUGGGCUUUUUGUGUUAAGUGGGUUCUGGGAAAGGUCCUGCUCUAUGCUAUUUUGGUUUGCCAUUCAUGCUUUUAAAGUAUGUGUGCAUGUUCUUGAAUGUGAUCUGGCUCUUUAGAAGCCCAACUAAGCAA